AGGACUCCGAGAGUGGAACUUCAUUUCAACGUUACCGGAAGCCUUAUUGGCGAUCUACUGAGCAAGUAUAUGCAUGACGAAGACUGCAGAUUUGGUCUGCGUGUUAAAAACAAGAAAAAUGAAAAAUGGAUCGCUUAUGGAGAUGGAUAUCUUAUUAAGACUGGAGAUAAAGAUAAUUUCCAACGAGUCGUCAAGGCAGCAAAUACAUCGGCUUACCAAGUGAUCCUAGCAUACCAAAAUCCUGAUCGUUGUUCCAGGUAAAAGAUGGUAAAUUACAAGUUCGUGUUAAUAAGAGAUCUCACCAGACUGGACUGGAGUAGGAAGACUGGCGAAACUUGUGAACUACAAACCUACAAACUCUGCCUUACCGCCUGCCUGAAAAGCAAGACCUUGUUCUUGCUAAAGUCGUGUAACUACCGUAAUACUUGGGAAAUAAAUAUUCGGGUUUAACUUCCAUUUUAUUGUCUUUAUAAGCUUUUCUGUGAAUAUUAGAUUGUCAAAACCUUUUUAUUUGAAUCUUAAACACCCUACAGUGAGCGACUUAAACGUAAAAUUAAUUACGCGG